UCCAGACUCCUACGGGAGGCAGCAGUGGGGAAUAUUGCACAAUGGGGGAAACCCUGAUGCAGCGAUGCCGCGUGGAGGAAGAAGGUUUUCGGAUUGUAAACUCCUUUUAUCAGGGACGAUAAUGACGGUACCUGAAGAAAAAGCUCCGGCUAACUACGUGCCAGCAGCCGCGGUAAUACGUAGGGGGCAAGCGUUAUCCGGAAUUACUGGGUGUAAAGGGAGCGUAGACGGUGAUGUAAGUCUGGAGUGAAAGGCGGGGGCCCAACCCCCGGACUGCUCUGGAAACUAUGUGACUGGAGUGCAGGAGAGGUGAGCGGAAUUCCUAGUGUAGCGGUGAAAUGCGUAGAUAUUAGGAGGAACACCAGUGGCGAAGGCGGCUCACUGGACUGUAACUGACGUUGAGGCUCGAAAGCGUGGGGAGCAAACAGGAUUAGAUACCCCAGUACUG
rnacentral:rRNA from 1 species